CAAUAGCGUAUAUUAAAGUUGUUGCAGUUAAAAAGCUCGUAGUUGGACUUCUGGUGGGAGCGAUCGGUCUGGCGCUUAGCGCGAGUACUUGCAUCGUCUCCGGCCAUCCUUGGGGAGAGUCUGUCUGGCAUUAGGUUGUCGGGCAGAGGAUCCUCAUCGUUUACUGUGAAAAAAUUAGAGUGUUCAAAGCAGGCUUAUGCCGUUGAAUAUAUUAGCAUGGAAUAAUAAGAUAGGACUUUGGUACUAUUUUGUUGGUUUGCGCACCAAAGUAAUGAUUAAUAGGGACAGUUGGGGGUAUUCGUAUUCCGUUGUCAGAGGUGAAAUUCUUGGAUUUACGGAAGACGAACUACUGCGAAAGCAUUUACCAAGGAUGUUUUCAUUAA
rnacentral:rRNA from 1 species